AUUGAACGCUGGCGGCAGGCCUAACACAUGCAAGUCGAGCGGAAACGAUCCUAGCUUGCUAGGAGGCGUCGAGCGGCGGACGGGUGAGUAAUGCAUAGGAAUCUGCCCGGUAGUGGGGGAUAACUUGAGGAAACUCAAGCUAAUACCGCAUACGCCCCAAGGGGGAAAGCAGGGGAUCUUCGGACCUUGCGCUAUCGGAUGAGCCUAUGUCGGAUUAGCUAGUUGGUGAGGUAAUGGCUCACCAAGGCCGCGAUCCGUAGCUGGUCUGAGAGGAUGAUCAGCCACAUCGGGACUGAGACACGGCCCGAACUCCUACGGGAGGCAGCAGUGGGGAAUAUUGGACAAUGGGCGAAAGCCUGAUCCAGCCAUGCCGCGUGUGUGAAGAAGGCCUUCGGGUUGUAAAGCACUUUCAGCGAGGAAGAACGCUUGUGGGUUAAUACCCUGCAAGAAGGACAUCACUCGCAGAAGAAGCACCGGCUAACUCCGUGCCAGCAGCCGCGGUAAUACGGAGGGUGCAAGCGUUAAUCGGAAUUACUGGGCGUAAAGCGCGCGUAGGCGGCUUGAUAAGCCGGUUGUGAAAGCCCCGGGCUCAACCUGGGAACGGCAUCCGGAACUGUCAGGCUAGAGUGCAGGAGAGGAAGGUAGAAUUCCCGGUGUAGCGGUGAAAUGCGUAGAGAUCGGGAGGAAUACCAGUGGCGAAGGCGGCCUUCUGGACUGACACUGACGCUGAGGUGCGAAAGCGUGGGUAGCAAACAGGAUUAGAUACCCUGGUAGUCCACGCCGUAAACGAUGUCGACUAGCCGUUGGGGUCCUCGAGACCUUUGUGGCGCAGUUAACGCGAUAAGUCGACCGCCUGGGGAGUACGGCCGCAAGGUUAAAACUCAAAUGAAUUGACGGGGGCCCGCACAAGCGGUGGAGCAUGUGGUUUAAUUCGAUGCAACGCGAAGAACCUUACCUACUCUUGACAUCGAGCGAACCAUCCAGAGAUGGAUGGGUGCCUUCGGGAACGCUCAGACAGGUGCUGCAUGGCCGUCGUCAGCUCGUGUUGUGAAAUGUUGGGUUAAGUCCCGUAACGAGCGC
rnacentral:rRNA from 1 species